rnacentral:rRNA from 1 species
CAGCAGCCGCGGUAAAACGUAGGUGGCAAGCGUUGUCCGGAAUUAUUGGGCGUAAAGGGCUCGCAGGCGGUUUCUUAAGUCUGAUGUGAAAGCCCCCGGCUCAACCGGGGAGGGUCAUUGGAAACUGGGAAACUUGAGUGCAGAAGAGGAGAGUGGAAUUCCACGUGUAGCGGUGAAAUGCGUAGAGAUGUGGAGGAACACCAGUGACGAAGGCGACUCUCUGGUCUGUAACUGACGCUGAGGAGCGAAAGCGUGGGGAGCGAACAGGAUUAGAUACCCGUGUAGUCCCUGUCUCUUAUAC